UACGGAGGGAGCUAGCGUUAUUCGGAAUUACUGGGCGUAAAGCGUGCGCAGGCGGCGCCGCAAGUCAGGCGUGAAAUCCCCGAGCUUAACUUGGGAAUGGCGCUUGAAACUACGGUGCUGGAGUGUGGCAGAGGGAGGUGGAAUUCCACGUGUAGCGGUGAAAUGCGUAGAGAUGUGGAGGAACACCGAUGGCGAAGGCAGCCUCCUGGGCCAACACUGACGCUCAUGCACGAAAGCGUGGGGAGCAAACAGG
rnacentral:rRNA from 1 species